AAAGAAUGAAGAAGAACUUACUUGGCCU
rnacentral:piRNA from 1 species